UAUGAACUUACUUAGAGGAGGUCGGGGGUGUGUGUGUGUGUGUUUGUGUGUGCGUGUGUCUUCUGCGUGUAGUCUGAGAUUGUCACAGACUACAUGGCCAGGCUGGACGUGAUACACUCCUCUCCUCUCCCUCUGGUUAUGAAACUGGAGGCGAUCGGGCAGAUUGCUCUGGCCAAAAUACACCAUCUCUUCUCCAAUGUUCACAUACCAAAGAAGGUACUGUACGAACUCAACAACAAAACUGUUCAACGAGUGAGAGAGUGGUUUGGCAUGAGCACACACACAACCCGUGACUUCAUUUUUCACAGUAAGCGGGAGGGGGGGUUGGGGAUAACAGACAUUGAAUGGACAUAUAUUUCCACACGCCUUGCCCAUUUAUUAAACAUGCUUAACAGCGACGAUCAGGCAGUCAGAGAGAUCGCCAGAGCCUCGCUCAUUCUCGACCUGGAGCGGCGCAAGGUCCCGAAAACGAGCGACCUCCCCAGCUUCCUUGGGUUUAAAAAGAAGCCCAGUGGUAAACUGGACACCAAUGCACCAGGGUUUGGCGUAAACUCUGACUGGCCCGAUCUGAACGACCUGUGUGACAGGACUGGUGUUUCCCUGGAGUGGAAAAGAGCGGACAACGAGAUGGUGAGCGUCUCCAAGUCUGUGAUCACGGACCUGUCAAUAAAUGUGCGCGCAACAGUGAGCCGCGACGGAACACCCAGCGUGCUCCCCACCAUCAGCGCGCGCUCGCACCUUCUAGCUCAGAGAGCAAGAGAGAAAGGAGAGCUGGACAGGACUGAGGCUGCAAGGGAAGCUUGCCUGCCUCCAGUCAGCUGAUCACUCUGUGUCCCACUCAAUUCUAAAAAAUGCAGCUAUCGAUGAAGAAAUCCUAAUUUUUACGAUAAAGACACGCCUCCAGGUGCUGCCAACAAAACUGAAUCUGUCCAUCUGGUAUCCCAAUAAUCAUGACUCUCACUGUCUACCAUGGACAGCGUCAGACCAUAGAGUCUAUGUCCCACAUUUUAAACGGUUGUAAUGUUUACCAAGGACUAUACAUAGCCAGGC
rnacentral:lncRNA from 1 species